UGAGCCACCUCCUCGUU
rnacentral:sRNA from 1 species